GCCUACCUAGCUCAGCAGGUAGAGCUAUCGGCUGUUAACCGAUCGGUCGUAGGUUCGAGUCCUACGGUAGGCGCCA
rnacentral:tRNA from 1 species